UUCUUUCUCUACAUCUGUUUCAGAGAUGAUGGUGUCUACAGUCUGGGAAGCUGCUGUCCCUGAGGUCCUGGGGAUUGAACUCAGGUAGUCAGGAUUGGCAGCAAGUGCCUUUAUAGGCUGAGCCACCACACUGCUCUCCACCCCAAGCCAGUUGUCAUUUACAAUUACAUAAAAAGAUGUUAUGUGAAGGGAUAAGCAGAGAAAAAAAAAGGCAUGCAGAAGUUGCUCAAUGAUGGCAACAGCUGCUAUUACUUUUACUGAAGUUCUUACUGUCACAGCAGGAAAGGAGGAGACAUUACCUCUGGACUGCCACCAUCUUCAUCCUAAGGCAUCCUGUCAUGAACAACCUUGAUCAACAAUCCCAUGAGGACCUCAAGUUUCGGUUAUGUUAGCUUGUAAGUCUGAUGGGACUCCAUUCGUGACAUCCUUAGAUGGCUUCUCCUGGAGCUUAGAUUCCAGAUCUGAUUUUCAACCACUGUGGGAAAUCUUUUAGUUUCCUAAACCUCAUUUUGCCUGUGCUAGAUGAGAGGUGAACUAUGUGUCAAUCAAAUCUAAGAGGUGGAGCCAUUUGCAUCUCUGAAUGACCCCCUCUGGUGGCUCCUCUCUUUCCUUGCACACACUUCUGACUAACACACACCCACUUUCUCUGUUGCUCUUUUUGUAAUUAAUAUCUUGAUGUGGGGACUACACAAGUAGGAAGCCACUGCUUUUUUGUCUUCCU
rnacentral:lncRNA from 1 species